AGUGAACGCUGGCGGUAGGCCUAACACAUGCAAGUCGAACGGCAGCACAGUAAGUGCUUGCUCUUACGGGUGGCGAGUCGCGUACGGGUGAGGAAUACAUCGGACUCUACUUUUUCGUGUGGGAUAACGUAGGUAAACUUACGCUAAUACCGCAUACCACCUACGGGUGAAAGCAGGGGAUCUUCGGACUUUGCGCUAUUUAAUGAGCCGAUGUCGGAUUAGCUAGUUGGCGGGGUAAAGGCUCACCGAGGCGGCGAUCCGUCGCUGAUGUGAGAGGAUGAACAGCGACACUGGAACUGAACGACGAUCCAGAGACUUACGUACGGCAGAAAUGGGGAAUAUUGGACAAAGGGCGGAAGACUGCUCAAGCGAUGCCACGUGGAUGCAGAAGGGCUGCGGGUUGUAAAGCCCUUUUGUUGUGAAAGAAAAGCAGCAGGUGAAAACCACGCUGUUCUGACGGUACCUAAAGAAUAAGCACCGGCUAACUUCGUG
rnacentral:rRNA from 1 species